rnacentral:tRNA from 2 species
GCAGGUGUAGUUCAGUGGUAGAACACUAGCCUUCCAAGCUAGAUAUGUGGGUUCGAUUCCCAUCACCUGCU